AACGAACGCUGGCGGCAGGCUUAACACAUGCAAGUCGAGCGCCCCGCAAGGGGAGCGGCAGACGGGUGAGUAACGCGUGGGAAUCUACCCAUCUCUACGGAAUAACGCAUGGAAACGUGUGCUAAUACCGUAUACGUCCUUCGGGAGAAAGAUUUAUCGGAGAGGGAUGAGCCCGCGUUGGAUUAGCUAGUUGGUGGGGUAAAGGACUACCAAGGCGACGAUCCAUAGCUGGUCUGAGAGGAUGAUCAGCCACACUGGGACUGAGACACGGCCCAGACUCCUACGGGAGGCAGCAGUGGGGAAUAUUGGACCAUGGGCGCAAGCCUGAUCCAGCCAUGCCGCGUGAGUGAUGAAGGCCCUAGGGUUGUAAAGCUCUUUCACCGGUGAAGAUAAUGACGGUAACCGGAGAAGAAGCCCCGGCUAACUUCGUGCCAGCAGCCGCAGUAAUAC
rnacentral:rRNA from 1 species